rnacentral:rRNA from 1 species
CAGCCGCCGCGGGAAUACAUAGGGUGCGAGCGUUAAUCGGAUUUACUGGGCGUAAAGCGUGCGUAGGCGGCUUCUUAAGUCGGAUGUGAAAUCCCUGAGCUUAACUUAGGAAUUGCAUUCGAUACUGGGAAGCUAGAGUAUGGGAGAGGAUGGUAGAAUUCCAGGUGUAGCGGUGAAAUGCGUAGAGAUCUGGAGGAAUACCGAUGGCGAAGGCAGCCAUCUGGCCUAAUACUGACGCUGAGGUACGAAAGCAUGGGGAGCAAACAGGAUUAGAUACCCGGGUAGUCCCUGUCUCUUAUAC